rnacentral:rRNA from 1 species
AUGAGCUGCGGCGUGGGGCAGGGCGGGUGGCUGCUGGACUACGGCCUCGUGGAGGAGGAGAUCCAGGCCUCCGACUUCAUCUACAUGGUCGACGACCCGCCGGUCUCCAGCGUGAUACUGGGCUUCGACGCUCCCAGGAGGGAGGACGCCGCGGCGGCUGCCCAGGACAACUCCGGCGCCAAGAAAAGAUCCCGUCCAGAGUCGAGCGCGCAGCCCGGCACCAAGGCAUGCCGCGAGAAGCUCCGGCGAGACAGGCUCAACGAGAGGUUCAAUGAGCUCUGCGCCGUCUUGGAGCCCGGGAAGCCACCCAAGGCCGACAAGGUCGCCAUCCUCAGCGACGCCACCCGCCUCCUGGACCAGCUGCGCGCCGAGGCCCAGAAGCUCAAGGCCUCCAACGAGUCACUCCAGGACUCCAUCAAGAGCCUCAAGUCCGAGAAGUCGGAGCUGCGGGACGAGAAGACGCAGCUGAAGGCCGAGAGGGAGAGGCUGGAGCAGAUGCUCAAGGGCGUCAGCGCGGCCGCCGCCGCGCCGCGGCAGUUCGUCCCGCACCCGGCCGCCGCGGCCGCGCCGCAGUUCCACCCGGCGGCGGCGUACGCGCACGCCGGCAAGUUCGUCCCGGCGUACGCCGCGGGCUACCCGCCGCCGGCCGCGUUCUGGCAGUGGAUACCGCCGACGUCGCUGGACACGUCCAAGGACCCCGCGCACUGGCCGCCGGUCGCGUGA